rnacentral:rRNA from 1 species
UACGUAGGCAGCGAGCGUUGUUCGGAGUUACUGGGCGUAAAGGGUGUGUAGGCGGUUUUCUAAGUUUGGUGUGAAAUCUCCCGGCUCAACCGGGAGGUGCGCCGAAAACUGGGAGACUAGAGUGCGGGAUGGGAGAGUAGAAUUCCUGGUGUAGCGGUGAAAUGCGUAGAUAUCAGGAGGAAUACCGGUGGUGUAGACGGCUCUCUGGACCGCCACUGACGCUGAGACGACGAAAGCGUGGGGUAGCAAACAGG